UAAAGGGAGCCAUAAAUGCAGUCUGACA
rnacentral:piRNA from 1 species